AAGUGGAAUAUGCCAAAGAAAAAACUGUUGCAUGUACAAAUUGCCCAUGGUUUUGAAGUCUAAUAAAGAAGAGAUUCAAACAAGAACAGCCAAAGACAAAGCAGAUAAAGGUUGAUAUCAAGUGUUGUGAUUUCACCAAAUGGGCUAUGCCAGAGGACAAAGCAGGAAGGCCAACAAGGGGAAGAGGACAGCAGCAUGAAUGCACAAUGGAGGACAGUCUUCUGAGCUGAGCUGAGCUGAGGCGAAGUCAUGAUGGCAUUGUGGCGGUGGGGAGGAGCGGAUUGCAGUGGCGUUCCCACUCCGGGCAAAAAGCUUUGAGCCUUUGCUGUCGGUCUGUGAAAGCAGGAUCGCAGAGAAGACACGAAGAUGAAGGCAAACUGGUUUCCCGCUGCAUGCACUCGACGAUUUGUCGUCGUGGGGUCUCCUCGAGCCUCAGUGCCAUGCAACGUGCUCUUCCAUGUCUCUCGCCGGCCAACCUCUGAGAACUCUCUCUCUCUCUCUCUCUCUCUCUCCCACAUUGCCAUCUAAUUGCUAUCAUAGCACCAAAUCAGAAUGAUAAGUAGCCUUGGAGAAUAUUUCCCCAAACUGCAUAUGAUUAAGGUCUUCCUACU